rnacentral:rRNA from 1 species
UACGUAGGGGGCAAGCGUUGUCCGGAUUUAUUGGGCGUAAAGAGCGUGUAGGCGGCCAGGUAGGUCUGCUGUGAAAACUCGAGGCUCAACCUCGAGACGCCGGCGGAAACCAUCUGGCUAGAGUCCGGAAGAGGAGAGUGGAAUUCCUGGUGUAGCGGUGAAAUGCGCAGAUAUCAGGAAGAACACCCGUGGCGAAGGCGGCUCUCUGGGACGGUACUGACGCUGAGACGCGAAAGCGUGGGGAGCGAACAGG